rnacentral:rRNA from 1 species
AGGGUUUGAUCAUGGCUCAGAUUGAACGCUGGCGGUAUGCUUAACACAUGCAAGUCGAACGGCAGCAUGCGAGUUCUUCGGAACUUGUGCUGACGAGUGGCGGACGGGUGAGUAAUGCGUAGGAAUCUGCCUAAAAGUGGGGGACAACCUGGGGAAACUCAGGCUAAUACCGCAUAAUCUCUACGGAGUAAAGCAGGGGACCUUUCGGGGCCUUGCGCUUUUAGAUGAGCCUGCGUCGGAUUAGCUAGUUGGUGGGGUAAAGGCCUACCAAGGCGACGAUCCGUAGCUGUUCUGAGAGGAAGAUCAGCCACACUGGGACUGAGACACGGCCCAGACUCCUACGGGAGGCAGCAGUGGGGAAUAUUGGACAAUGGGCGAAAGCCUGAUCCAGCAAUACCGCGUGUGUGAAGAAGGCCUAAGGGUUGUAAAGCACUUUCAGCAGGGAGGAAAGGGCAGUUGUUAAUAACAGCUGCAGUUGACGUUACCUGCAGAAGAAGCACCGGCUAACUCUGUGCCAGCAGCCGCGGUAAUACAGAGGGUGCAAGCGUUAAUCGGAAUUACUGGGCGUAAAGCGUGCGUAGGUGGAUAUUUAAGUCAGAUGUGAAAUCCCUGGGCUCAACCUAGGAACUGCAUUCGAUACUGGAUGUCUAGAGUAUGGUAGAGGGAAGUGGAAUUUCCGGUGUAGCGGUGAAAUGCGUAGAUAUCGGAAGGAACACCAGUGGCGAAGGCGGCUUCCUGGCCCAAUACUGACACUGAGGCACGAAAGCGUGGGUAGCAAACAGGAUUAGAUACCCUGUUAGUCCACGCCGUAAACGAUGUCAACUAGCUGUUGGGAGGAUCUGCCUCUUAGUAGCGUAGCUAACGCGAUAAGUUGACCGCCUGGGGAGUACGGCCGCAAGGCUAAAACUCAAAUGAAUUGACGGGGGCCCGCACAAGCGGUGGAGCAUGUGGUUUAAUUCGAUCCAACGCGAAAAACCUUACCUGCCCUUGACAUGUAGCGAACUUUCCAGAGAUGGAUUGGUGCCUUCGGGAACGCUAACACAGGUGCUGCAUGGCUGUCGUCAGCUCGUGUCGUGAGAUGUUGGGUUAAGUCCCGUAACGAGCGCAACCCUUAUCCUUAGUUACCAUCAAGUUAAGGUGGGGACUUUAGGGAGACUGCCGGUGAUAAACCGGAGGAAGGUGGGGACGACGUCAAGUCAUCAUGGCCCUUAUGGGUAGGGCUACACACGUGCUACAAUGGUCAGUACAGAGGGUCGCGAAGCGGUGACGUGGAGCAAAACUCAGAAAGCUGAUCGUAGUCCGGAUUGGAGUCUGCAACUCGACUCCAUGAAGUUGGAAUCGCUAGUAAUCGCGGAUCAGCAUGCCGCGGUGAAUACGUUCUCGGGCCUUGUACACACCGCCCGUCACACCAUGGGAGUGGGUUGUACCAGAAGUAGGUAGACUAACCUUCGGGAGGUCGCUUACCACGGUAUGGUUCAUGACUGGGGUGAAGUCGUAACAAGGUAGCCGUA